rnacentral:rRNA from 1 species
UGGCGAACGGGUGAGUAACACGUGGGUGAUCUGCCCUGCACUUCGGGAUAAGCUUGGGAAACUGGGUCUAAUACCGGAUAGGAGCUCCUGCUGCAUGGUGGGGGUUGGAAAGUUUCGGCGGUUGGGGAUGGACUCGCGGCUUAUCAGCUUGUUGGUGGGGUAGCGGCUUACCAAGGCUUUGACGGGUAGCCGGCCUGAGAGGGUGACCGGCCACAUUGGGACUGAGAUACGGCCCAG